rnacentral:lncRNA from 1 species
AGGAAGACAUCUUGGUGCUUGGCAGCUUGGGAGUAGCGGUGCGGGGCCGGAGCGGGAGGUUGGAGGAGGAGAAAGAAGAAGGAGAAGAAAGAGAAAAAGGAGGAUGGAGAAGUAGAGAAGGCAGUGGCUGAGAGCGAUGGGCAGCUGGGUAGUGUGGGCUGAUACUCAGUUGCAAGUGGUCACCUGCUGAGGUUUCACUUUCAUUAUAACUGGUUGGACAUCAGCAAGUGGUUCAGUGAUCACGGAAGUUCAUGAAAACCAUAAACUUUCUGAGCAGCCUAACAAAGAAGUGCAGCACUGUGUAAAAAAAAUCUUAAAACCUAAAUACGCCUCCAGAGAAAACCGAACUGCCUGAACACAAAGCAGGAAAUUUUGGAAUGUUUCAGUGCAUAAAAAUGAGUCUACAAUCAAAAUUCUACCCCAAUGGGUAUUUUUGUACUCUCAGUCUUUGCUUCAGAAAAGGCUGAAUUUUGUCUUACGUAGAAAACCAGUGAAGACCAAUUCAUUAAAAGCAACUGCCAUAGGAGGUAUGUGAUUUUUUUUGAGAAUCAUUUAGGCUCAAAAUGCAU